rnacentral:lncRNA from 1 species
CUCUGCAUAACAUAGGAUUCUCUGAUUCUGGAAAAUACAUCUGCAAAGCUGUUACAUUCCCGCUUGGAAAUGCCCAGUCCUCUACAACUGUAACUGUGUUAGUUGAACCCACUGUGAGCCUGAUAAAAGGGCCAGAUUCUUUAAUUGAUGGAGGAAAUGAAACAGUAGCAGCCAUUUGCAUCGCAGCCACUGGAAAACCCGUUGCACAUAUUGACUGGGAAGGUGAUCUUGGUGAAAUGGAAUCCACUACAACUUCUUUUCCAAAUGAAACGGCAACGAUUAUCAGCCAGUACAAGCUAUUUCCAACCAGAUUUGCUAGAGGAAGGCGAAUUACUUGUGUUGUAAAACAUCCAGCCUUGGAAAAGGACAUCCGAUACUCUUUCAUAUUAGACAUACAGUAUGCUCCUGAAGUUUCGGUAACAGGAUAUGAUGGAAAUUGGUUUGUAGGAAGAAAAGGUGUUAAUCUCAAAUGUAAUGCUGAUGCAAAUCCACCACCCUUCAAAUCUGUGUGGAGCAGGUUGGAUGGACAAUGGCCUGAUGGUUUAUUGGCUUCAGACAAUACUCUUCAUUUUGUCCAUCCAUUGACUUUCAAUUAUUCUGGUGUUUAUAUCUGUAAAGUGACCAAUUCCCUUGGUCAAAGAAGUGACCAAAAAGUCAUCUACAUUUCAGAUGUUCCAUUUAAGCAGACCUCUUCCAUAGCUGUAGCUGGAGCGGUAAUUGGAGCUGUUCUUGCCCUUUUCAUCAUUGCUAUCUUUGUGACUGUGCUGCUGACUCCUCG